AAGCUCACAUAUUCUCAUUUUCACCGCCGCAUUAUUUCCCCACUUUUGCUUCAAAGUUGGGAACAACGCAAAGCGUAAAAAAUAUAUUAAUAUUGAAAAGUUUAUAAAUUACCACUGUGACCAUGGACGACCUUUCACGUGGUGAUGAAAUAGUUGAAAAGGAAGACUCAAGAAGAGGGGAGGAGCAAGUUGAUGAGUUGGAGAGGUCACAGGCCACGAGUGAUGACGGAAGAUCAAAGAGCUCGCAAGAGAGCGCAAAAAGGGCACACGAGCUCCGAGUAUAGGUUAAGUGAUGAGCAAGGUUCCAGAAAAAGCAAAGGGACUCGGAGUACGAACUUAAUGACGACCAGAGAGCUCGCAAAAGGCAGAUAAAUUCUGAAUAUGAGCUAAAUAAAGAUCAGAGGGCUCGCAAAAAUGAGAGAAAUUCUGAAUAUGAGCUAAAUGAAGUGAGCCAGCUCGUAAAAGGCAGAGAAAUUCUGAAUAUGAGCUAAAUGAUGAUCAAAGAGCACGCAAAAGGCAGAGAAACUCUGAAUAUGAACUAAAUGAGGUGCAGGCAGCUCGUAAAAGGCACAGAAACUCAGAAACACUCAACGCCCAGCGUGCAAUGAUGGCAGAAGACAGCUUGUUUGCUCAAAGGCAGAGAGAAAGAGCUCGUGAGCGAUAAAGGGCAUCUAGACUCAGGAGAAAACAACAGAGACAGUCCUCCUCAACUACUUCUACCGCUGUCGUUGGGCAUACAGGUAGUCACCAAGAUGCUUGUGAGACGGACUUGUCAACUCAAGGUUCAGUUGUUGGUCAAGCAUGCAGCAGUUCGCCUACACCCUUUGUACCUGUAUGCAUAGGGGAUACUGCUGCUCUAAGGCUAGUAUCAGCUGAACCAAGCCAGGAAAGCCCUGUGGGGUUUUCCUGGAUGCAGAUGACUCUACGGUCUAUGGAAUACUUCUCCCUGAACCAGGAGUGAAUGUAAGGGACCUUCUUCACUGAUUAGUGAAGAAGGAAACAACGGUCAUACUCAAGGUGAAGAAAACAACGAGGGUGCAGAGCGCCAACGACAGGAUAACAACGCUCAAAGGAAUGGUGCCCCAUACCGUUCCACGAUAACUUGUCGUGGAACGCUCAUGUGAAAGAGGUAGUCAAGAAAUCGAGCAAAAAGCUAUACUUUUUAAUCCAACUAAAAAGGGCUCUGCUACCCCCCUCAGACUUAUCUUUAUUUUACAAAGCUUGCAUUCGUUCGGCCGUCGACUAUGCGGUGCCGGUUUUUCAUAACGCCCUGCCGCAGUAACUAAAAAAUGAGCUCGAACGUAUCGAGUAAAGGGCGCUAUCUAUAAUUUUGCCCCGUACGAGCUACGAUGGUGCUUGUGAUUUCUCGGGCAUAACACCAUCAGAAGUGCUCCACGGCCUAAUUUGCAGCAAGCUCUUCGACGAAAUAGUUUCUGAUCCGAAUCAUAAACUAAAGAGCUUGCUGCCUCCAUUAAACGUUUCAAGCCAUAACCUUAGAAAAAAACGGCCCUUUGCCUUGCCCCGCCUCAAAACAAACAGAGCCAUGAAUUCUUUUACAUUCUCGAUGGCCAACAAAUCUUAAAUGGAGAGUAUAUAUGGUUUUUAUGGAUUAUGAUUAAUCUUAUAUAGGAUGAACUUUAUCACGUUUUUAAAUUUUUAUAUUUUAUAUUUAUUAUUGUAUAUAGUUAAAUUUAUUAUAGUUAUAAUAUAGUAUCUAUUGUUUUGUAAAUGCCUAAUUCAGCCUAUGGGCUGCUACGCAAUUUUUUUCCUAAUAAACUAUCUGACCUGUCAGAUAGUUUAUUAGAUGUUUUACCUAAUAAACUAUCUGACCUGUCAUUGCAUGGCCAUCAACUAAUGAGACUCCCGCAUCAGAGUUUACCACACCAUAUUUAUUCACCAUGGCCUUCCCCUGCUUAUUCCCAUAUGGACUUGGUGACUUCCAUAUAAACAGACCCAGGACAGCCUCCCAUCUCCACGAGUGGGCUGAGCAUCUGGAGUGGUACAAGGAUGGAAGGUUCAUCAAGCACAAGGUGUGGAAGUUCGUGGUCCAUAACAUGAUCAUGAGGAAGCGAGCGCUGGAACAGAGUAGAACCUAUGUUGACCAGCAGCUUGGUGAUCCCCACAUGUGGCUGACUUGCUGACUGUGGCUGACUUGCAAGAGCGCAUGGCAAGAGGAGACACCACCAUCGCCAACAAGCUCUUGUACUUUGGUGCAAGCCUCAGAGGGACAUCACAGUAUUGGGACCAGCGUCGUCGAGAACCUAGAGCGAUGGUGCAGUGCAUGGUCAACGAGAAACGUGGGCUUCCAUCGUUUUUCAUGACUGGUAGUUGUGCAGAGUUCUACUGGCCUCCACUGCGACGACUAUUAGAGCAGUAUAUCCUUGAGACAACUGGGGAGACGGUAAACUUGCUUGAAGACAGCAAUGCUCGUUACAAGGCAGUUCAAGAGAAUACCCAUCUGGUUGUGAGUUACUUUGAUAUGCGAACUCGGUCAUAUCAUAAGAAUGUUGUGAAACUUGUGUUCGGAGUAAAUGACUACUGGUACAGGUACGAGUUUGCAAAGUCACGUGGACAAAUCCACUGGCAUCAGUUGAGCUGGAGAGAAGAUCGCCAGCCCCAUGUGCUCCUUCACCAAGCUGUACAAGAGGAGUGCCCGAAACCAGAGAGAGUGCGCAGGCUGAAUGAGUGGGUGGAGGACAACUUUGACAUGAGCGCCUCCCACCUAGCCGGUAAAGACGAGGAUGGGGAAUCAAGAAAGGAGUUGUGGCUCCCACCAGUAGGAACUGCUAAGCCGGUGUCUGAGGACAGUGAUCCUUUGGUUAGAUGCUGCUAGACGUAGAUGCAACGCAGAAGGCUAUGCUUGAAGACCAUCUGAACCUUGUGAACCGCGUAGGGCUUCACACCUGCUCAGACUAUUGUCUUCGUACACCUCGCCAUGCUGAGCCUGGUAUGCAACCUAAAGAGCGUAUCUGCCGUAUAGAGUUUGACUCAGAGUAUCACCGCGGUAAACCAAGAAGGGAAGAACCAGACAUUGUUGCAUAUCGCAAUGGGGCCGAACGUCUAGAGAUGGCAAGAGAUCACACAAGAGUCGUACAGCACUCGAGGUUUAACCUGCAGUCCUGGAGAGCAAACUGCGACUUGAGUGUGAUACUGUCAAACUCACCGCCUGACAACCCAAGCACUGAUGACAUCAUAGCCAUAGUACACUAUGUUUUUGCGUAUGCAUGCAAAGGAAAUGAGCCGACAGCAGCAACUGAAGACCUCUUCGAGGACAUGGUAAAUGCAGUUGAUUCUGCAGAUGAAGUGUCUGGUAGAUCUGUUUGUGCAAAAAUGCUGAUGAAAACAGUUGGUAGUAGAGAUGUUAGUGGACCAGAGGCCUUGUCCGAACUCAGUGGACUUCCUCUUUGGCGAUCCACUCCUCUUUAGCGAUCCAGUUCUCAUAUCUGUCGAUGAAGGGUUCCCGCCAUCUUGAGAGAAAUGGGGACACAGCUACAUCCAGCACAGCAUUAGACAAGUAUCUGGCUAGACCUCGUGAUGAAGUGUGCUCCUGGUACAAGUUUGCAUGCAAGAAUGGAAAAGUCCCAGUCGUUAGUGGUGGCUCCACCUAUGAUACAUGGCCGCUCCAGGGGGACUUUUGCAGAACCAUGAUGCUACUUCACUGGCCAAACUGGUUCAGUCUAGAUGAGUUGGAGUCUGUAGAUGAGACCUCGAAAGAUGCAUUUUCAAGGUUCGUUACCACAGACCAGUGCCCUAUGUUCGUGAAAGCUCUUGUAGUGAAGGCCUCACCGCAAGCUGAAGGUGCAAGGAAGCAGGCAUAUGAAUCUGAUGAUGAAGAUGAGCAAGCAGAUGCAGAAGAGCAACCAGACUGGGUUGACGUCUAUGCUGGACCAAACCAGAUGUACGAGGGCGUGGAAGAGUUCCAGUAUGAUGAUGGAGGUGAGGACUUUGACUGGAGCAGUAGUAUGGUAGCAAUUCCAGAAAAGCUUAUCCCAAAGUCUGGCUUGAGAAACAAAUCGAAGAAGAUGAAAAUGCAGAGAAUGGAGGCCUUAUGCUACCAGAUGUGUCAUCUCUAACGCUGAAUGAAGAGCAGAGAUCAAUCGUGAGCCUCAUACUGCUGACGCUGAAGAGGUAUUUAGAGCAAGGAGAUGAUUACAUUCCCUUGAGGCUAGUGGUGUCAGGCACUGGAGGCACAGGAAAAUCUUACAUGAUCAAGUGCAUUCAAAGGCUGGUCCGACAGGUGUUCGGCAAGAAUGAUGCAGUGCAGGUUGUUACACCAACAGGAAACACAGCGUUUCUGGUGCAGGGUACUACAGCUCACAGUUUUCUGUCGAUACCGACUGGCGGGAGAUCAUGCAACGAGCUCACAGUGCCAGCUGGUAAUGUACUGAGGAAGUUGCAGGACAAGUGCAAGAACCUGGCUGUCCUUAUUGGAGAUGAGCGAUCCAUGGUUGGAUGUACGAUGAUAGGCUGGAUGGAACAGCAUAUGAGGUUUGGGAGGAACGAAGGAGCAACCUCUCAGCAGCUCUGGGGAGGCAUCCCUGUUUUAGUGCUGAUGGGGGAUGAUGUACAGCUUCCACCUGUUCUCGACACCCCCACAUACAUCCCAGAGUCACGUAACGCCCAAUCCAACCAUGGUCGCCUAGUGUGGACGAUGUUUGAUGCUGCCGCUGAACUGACGCAAAUCAUCAGGCAGGCAGAGUCUGAACGUCAACUGAGAGAUGGGCUGACAUCUCUGCGAACAUACUCCACCACCACAGAGCCAGGUGCACUGGCUCCAACAGUUUCAGUGGCAUAACCUGCGCCGAACACAUGGUGACGAGCUUCUCCAGAGAAUGGAUGACGAAGGCCUAUUUGUCUUCCCUACCCAUCGCCUGGAAUGGGGCAGGAACAAGACAAAGAUCCUGGAGUGCAAUCGCAUUCCAGGCCAUCCAGUUGCCAACAUGAACGCGGAGAACCAUGGUAACCAUGCUCAGAAGGCAGAUAGCAACAAAGCAGGUGGUCUGCUGCCUCAUCUCUACUCUGCCGUGAUAGCAAGGUAAUGUUGGUAGCUAACCUAAAGGCUACAUGGGGGCUUUUCAAUGGUGCUGUAGGUCGAGUUGUGGAUAUCGUGUAUCUCAACGGACGUAGACAACAGAUGAUCCACCACCGCUUCCUGACUAUGUGAUGGUCCGGUUCACGAGCUACACUGGACCAGCAUUCGUGGCAGAUGACACACAAGUGGUGCCGAUUGUUCCUGUGAGUCGUUCUAUUGAAUGUGCAUGUAGGUUGUACCUAUUGUUCCUGUGAGUCGUUCUAUUGAAUGUACAUGUAGGUUGUACCUAUUGUUCCUGUGAGUCGUUCUAUUGAAUGUGCAUGUAGGUUGUACCUAUUGUUCCUGUGAGUCGUUCUAUUGAAUGUGCCUGUAGGUUAAACCUAUUGUUCCUGCGAGUCGUUCUAUCGAAUGUGCAUGUAGGUUGUACCUAUUGUUCCUGUGAGUCGUUCUAUCGAGUGUGCAUGUAGGUGCACACGUGUGCAGGUUCCCUUGAGACUGGCAUGGGGGAUGACUAUCCACAAAUGCCAAGGUAUGACCGUAGGGGAGGGGGAACCGUUUAGGUAUGUUGUUAUCCAUCCUGGUAAGUAUGCUUUUGAAGCAAAGAAUCCAGGAGCAUUGUUCGUUGCUUUGUCACGAGCAAAGUCAGCUGGGGGCCAGGGUACUGACCCAGAUUUUGCCUUCAAUGAGGAUGUUCUCAUCAAUGAGGAUAGAUUCCGACCAGUGGACUCUCGAACAACCAGGGCCCGUGCAUUCGAGAUGGAGAGACUUCAACGCCUUUCUGAGCAGUGCCAGCGCCGUCAUGAGUUUGCAGAUGCAUACCACAGGGACACCUUCCUGGAGCUUGUGUAGUGGGCAGAAGGAUAUCACCACGAAGAGUGAUGUAAUGGGAUGUUCACGUCAAGUUGCUACCAGGUUCAUCUUGGCAUGAGCAAUGAGAUGUGAGAUGUUUCACACUCUAAUGGACCUGUACGAGAGGUCCAUUAGACCGGAAAUUAGUUUCACUUCCAUGCCAUCGUUCUUUUGCUUGCCUGGAAGAAUCGUCCAUGAAGGCCUUCAAUAGCUGGGAUUACAAGGUAAUAACUAUGUAACAGUGCUCAUGCUAGUCAUGCCUAAAAGCCUGGAGCACUAAACCAGCAGGUUAGCAAGGCAGAUAGUAAUGUAGUAAUGUUGUGGCAAACAUGUCCGUCAGCAUUGCUGCACAGUUCUGACCCGGCAUGGGGGUCAGGUAUACACUGAAACUAGCAAAAUGGGAAAAAUUGCUCUGAAUAGUCAACUCCUAACAUUUUGGGCAAAGGGCUGGUGUAAUGGAGACUGGAUUACUGCUCAGAGCUGGCAGGACUUAGAGCAAUUAAUUAUUGCUUGGUUUCAGUGUCAACUUCCUGGAAAGGGCAGACACAGUAGCUGGCUGGUUAAUGAGAUGAUAGUAAUCGUUGAAACAGUUUCUUACACAAAGUUGACUCUUUGCAGUCAAUGGCAGACCACCUUUGUUGUCCAAGUUGGGCAAGGCUAGCGUGUGAAUAGUAGUCACUGUAUUACUUGGCAGUUGCAUGGUCUACAGGCCAUCUACUGCAGCUAGCGAGCUGGAAUGCUGAUAGUAAUCACCUAGAUGGUUACUGAGGCAGUGAUAACCACUGCUGGCAGCCAGCGGAAGGUGGGAUAUAGACCGAUCCAUUUUCAAUUCUUUUAUCUCAUUUUCUUUUACAAAUGCCAAAAUGCAAGUACUUUAGUCAGCAAAGAAGUUGAAAACAAACAUGGACAUGGUAUUUAUUGCUCAUACAGCAUCGAAUAUGGUUGAAUUCAGUUAUUUUUUUCUAGUGUAACAAGUCUAUUGAAUUAUUUUUUAAUCUUAAUUAUAAGCUCCUUUCACUCUUUACUGCUCUUCUGAGGGUCGGUCUUUUGCCCGUAAGGGCAGGGCUGGUUGAUGCAGUGUCGACUCUUCAUUGAGGUCAAUACACUGUGACCAGCAAGUCUGUACUUUGUACUUCAAACUUUUCCUCUUUAACUUUGUUAAACACAUGAUAGAAUUUAUACAUCCCCAAUCAUAUGUAAAUAAUGAUGAGGUAAUAUAGAGCUUGAAAAGUGUGCCAAUUCAAGAACCAUUGAACAUUGGCAAUCCAAAGCCUACAAGUAGAGCAAAGAUAAAUAAAAUGACAAGCAACAAGCAAGCUAAAAGAAAUCUGCAAACCUCUCCUUAACAAGAGUGCCCUCAAAGAACACAAUAACAGGUGAUCACAAAUAUUAGCAUGUGGUUUAUUAUGUUCAUUGUUGUUUAUGGCACUUUGUACAACCUUUUUUACAAACUGCAUAGGUACUCUUGCGUGCACAGGAGGUCAAUAUUGGUAAAGUAUUAUCUCAACAUGGAGGAAAGAAAUUUAAAUGGAUGAUUGAACAUUUUGUAAGCUGUUUUAAAAUACUGUAACUGUUACAUCACAUGAUAAUUUAACUUCUUUGAUAUAUUUUCUAUGAGAAUUUCAGUGUUACAUAAAGACAUCUGGGAGCCUAUUUUUUCUUCUAGUCAAUGCCUAUAACAACAAGGGAACAGGAUUUCAGUGUUACACAAAGACUAUAGGAGUCUGUUCUUUCAACUAGUCAAUGUCUAUAACAACAAAACAACAGCAAAGGCAUGAUGCCACCAAAGCAAGGCAUUAUGAAAAGUGCAUAUUAUCCGCUUUACAGGAAGACAACUUCUGGGGUCCUUGACAGACACAAAAGUAAUGCAUUGUGGGCAUGGGAUUAUUUAUCCGCUUUACAGGAGGAAAACCACAGAAGUCCUUGACAGUAAUUGAUUUUAACUAAUGAAAUGUGGGAUUCUGUUCUGUCAUAUGCUUGAAUAACAACAAAACAGUUUAUAAGGAUGCUUGCUGGUAUAACUACAUUAGAUGGUUGAUGCAACAUCUGGCAAUAUUUCUUCAAAGUACUCAUAAAGCCAUAACGACCACUUAUUUGGUUCAAAAUGUUAUUGGGAUAGCUUUAAUUGGAUCACUUUUCUUGCUUUUAGACAAGUGUAAAUAUAAAUAUAGGGCUCUAACCCUCGGAGCAGUUUAAUGCAUUGCAUUCGGUCGAGGAGUAAGUUUUCAGUGUAUUUUUCCCAAAACGGUUUUAUCUGUUUUUUUUUUCGUACCGGGCAAUGUAUCAAUAGUCUGUAUUACAUUUUUUUUCCAAUGGGGAACAAUUUUGUAAAAUACAAUCUUAGCUAAUAUUCAAAUAUAGUUGAUAUUAUAGAUGAGCACUUUUGUCAAAUUUGUGUCACUUAAUAAAGUGUUACUACAGAAA